CGGGUGAGUAACACGUGGAUAACCUACCUAUAAGACUGGGAUAACUUCGGGAAACCGGAGCUAAUACCGGAUAAUAUAUUGAACCGCAUGGUUCAAUAGUGAAAGACGGUUUUGCUGUCACUUAUAGAUGGAUCCGCGCCGCAUUAGCUAGUUGGCAGGGUAACGGCUUACCAAGGCAACGAUGCGUAGCCGACCUGAGAGGGUGAUCGGCCACACUGGAACUGAGACACGGUCCAGACUCCUACGGGAGGCAGCAGCG
rnacentral:rRNA from 1 species